GGCACUAUAGCCAAGUGGUUACGGCGGAAGAUUUGAAAUCUUCUCCUCUUUGAGGGCGCAGGUUCGAACCCUGCUGGUGUCG
rnacentral:tRNA from 1 species